UGUCAAAAGAAGAUUAUAAAAAGAUUAUCAAUUGAAAAGUUUAUUAUAAAAGUAUUAUUAUAAACGAGGAGAUUUAUAAUAGAUGGUAAACUAUUCUAGUAAUUUCGAAUAAACUUAACACGUAUAGAAGACCCAAUCAACGUAUUGCCCUUCUUACGUUAUCGCAUCGACAUUGUCCUUUAGUUCCCUGUCUUCCACGUACUAUGUGUCUAAAAUAUGUAUACAUUUGUACAUAUGAAUAUAGUUCGAAAUAAGUAUUUUAGUUCUUUAGACUUUUAAGUUCUUUCUUUAUUAUUUAUUAAAGGAUGGAAACAGUGCGAUCUUGUGGUUGCAAGGGAAUAAGAUCUUGCCUUCUCUGCGAAACUGAACAUAAGAUUGUGAAACCCAAUCUUAAGACUCAUUUUGAGAAAUGUUCCAGUUAUGUAUAUUGUCCAAACUGUGACAAAUCGUGGCCUGGUUGGGACGCUGAUCUUUAUAAAAAUCAUCCAUAUCAUCGAGGAACUGCCAUAGAAUUUUCUGGUGUAUAUAUUAAGCUAGAUUUUCUAAAUCCUUGGGAAAUUAAUUCAUUGAAGAACGCGCUUGAAAAAAUACCUUGGGAAGUUUCUCAGAGUGGAAGAAGGAAACAGAAUUUUGGUCCAAAAUGCAACUUCAAGAAAAGAAAGCUUCGAUUGGGUUCCUUUGAUGGUUUUCCAAAGUCUACUCAAUUUGUGCAACAAAAAUUUUGCCAAGUACCCAUGCUUAAUAAUUUCCAAACGGUAGAACAAUGUACUUUAGAGUAUGAUCCAUUACGAGGAGCUUCGAUAGAUCCACAUAUCGAUGACUGCUGGAUUUGGGGUGAAAGAAUAGUUACUGUGAAUGUCAUGGGUAACUCAGUUUUAACAAUGAGUCCUUACCAUGGUCCAGAUACGAAAUAUAAUUUAGAAAGCGUUGCAGAGUAUUCCACUAUACUCGAAGGCUUCGAAUUUGAUACAAAUGAUAAAAAUGAAAGUAAUAAAGAUAUCGUUGUAAGGCUCCCAAUGCCAGAGGGAUCGCUUAUGGUUCUUUAUGAUAGUGCAAGGUACAAAUGGGAACAUUGUGUUUUAAGAGAAGAUAUAACUUCUAAGCGAAUAUGUUUGGCUUAUCGUGAAUUAACUCCUCCAUAUCUAUGCACCUCAACAAAUAAUGAAAUAGUCAAAGAACUCUUAAAGAGAGCUUCAGUCUUUCAAUGAAGUGUGACUAAGGUUUGAAAAUAAUUUAUUCCAACAAAAAAAUCAAUGGCACUCCUAGCUUCGUCAUUUUUUUCAUAUUGAUGCAUGGUCACGUUAAUUUUGUCAGCAAGAAGAUCUUUUAUUCCAUCUUGAAGAGCAUAAGCUGCAAUCCCAGCGAUCAAUUCCAAGACAAGAACUAAUGAAAGCGAUACUGCAAACUAUGCAAUUAUAGUGAUAUAUUUUUAUUAUUUGUUACAUAUUAGAUGAGAAAUAAACAAAUUAGCAUUAGAUAAAUAAAUUUAAUAACGGAUAAAAUUGUUCCAGCAAAGUCGAAAUAUAUAAAACAGAAAGAGAGAGAUAACAUAAAAUUUAAUUUAUCAAAUUUUAAUAUACGAUACUUUCACAUAAUAUAGAAAAAGAAGUAUUAGGAUGCUCACCACAAGAACCAUACAGGUGCUCUCUCUAAGAGCUCCGCAACAACCUAGGAAAGCUAUUAUAAAAACAAAUAUCCCAACAACGAUUAAGAGGGUUGCUGGAGAAAAAUAGCUAGGAUCCAAAAAAUGGGAGAAAUCUUCGUAGACAGCAUAAAUUGUUGUUCCAAUGGAUAUUAUCAUUAUCCCCGUUAACUAUAAAUAAAUAAUUUAUAUUAUAAUUUUAUAAAAAAAAUGUAGGAUUUGUAAAUUAAGAUCUGGGUCUAUAACAUGAUAUAAUAAUAAUAUAAGUGAAAAAUAUUACUGCAGAAAAUUAAAUUAUUUUUAUAUCUUUAUUUUAAAUUACGAGUUUCUAUUUCAUAUAUAGAUAAUUAAUUGUAGUAAAUAUUUUACUAAGAAUUAUUAAAGCAUUCAUAGUAGUUGAGUACUCUAUCAAAUUGUUAAUUAUAAACACACACACACAUACACAAAAUGUAUUUUCAUAUCAAUGAAAUUGAACGUAAAAUUUUUAACUAAUACUUAAAAAUGUACACACAUUGGUAUUUUAUAUAGAUACAAAUAAAUACAUGAUUGGAUUUCAAUAUUUCAUAAAUAUUUGUUAAUUUUUAACGUCAAUGACAUAGUUUUUGGCAUUGUUGAUAUCAUUAUAAUGCCGUCGAUGAUAAAUAAAUGAUAAAUUUUCUUAUUUUUAAUAUGAUUUAAGUAGGCACACCCGUACAAAGUAGACGCUAUUUAAUUUUAUUGUAAUCACAUCCGUGCUUUAUAUAAAGUACAUCUUUCGUUAACAUAAAAAUUUUAUAUUCUUACAAACAUUCAUUGUUCGUAUUGAAUUUUAAGAAAUGUAAGAUAUUAAAACUAUUGUACACGUAAAAUCUAACAAUACAAACAAAUGUUAAAAUAAA